rnacentral:rRNA from 1 species
UGAGUACGAGAUGCUACGGCAUCGAAGCAGUCUAUGUCAUACUUCCAAGAAAAGCUUGCACUGUCAUAAACAAAGAAUGCCUGUACCAUAACCGACACAGGUGGGUAGGUAGAGUAUACUAAGGGGCGCGAGAUAACUCUCUCUAAGGAACUCGGCAAAAUGACUCCGUAACUUCGGGAGAAGGAGUGCCUUAUUUCUAAGGUUGCAAUAACAAGAUCCAAGCAACUGUUUACCAAAAACACAGGUCUCCGCUAAGUCGUAAGACGAUGUAUGGGGGCUGACGCCUGCCCAGUGCCAGAAGGUUAAAGAAGUUGGUUAGCAUUAGCGAAGCUGAUAACUGAAGCCCUGGUGAACGGCGGCCGUAACAAUAACGGUCCUAAGGUAGCGAAAUUCCUUGUCGGGUAAGUUCCGACCCGCACGAAAGGCGUAAUGAUUUGGAUACUGUCUCGGAGAGGGGCUCGGUGAAAUAGACUUGUCUGUGAAGAUGCGGACUACCUGCACCUGGACAGAAAGACCCUAUGAAGCUUUACUGUAACUUGAGAUUGAAAUUGGACUUUAUUUGCGCAGUAUAGGUGGGAGGCGUUGAGAAUAAUCUUGCGGGAUUGUUGGAGCCAUCAGUGAGAUACCACUCUUGUAAUGUUAGAUUUCUAACUUUGUAUCAUUAUCUGGUCAAAGAACAGUUUCAGGCGGGCAGUUUGACUGGGGCGGUCGCCUCCCAAAGGGUAACGGAGGCGCACAAAGGUUUCCUCUGAACGGGUAGAAAUCGUAUCUAGAGUGUAAAGGCAUAAGGAAGCUUGACUGUGAGACCUACAAGUCGAGCAGGGACGAAAGUCGGUCUUAGUGAUCUGACGGUGCUGAGUGGAAAGGCCGUCACUCAACGGAUAAAAGUUACUCUAGGAUAACAGGCUGAUCUCCCCCAAGAGUUCACAUCGACGGGGAGGUUUGGCACCUCGAUGUCGGCUCAUCGCAUCCUGGGGCGGUAGUCCGUCCCAAGGGUUGGGCUGUUCGCCCAUGAAAGCGGUACGCGAGCUGGGUUCAGAACGUCGUGAGACAGUUCGGUCCAUAUCCGGUGUAGGCGUUAGAAUAUUGAGAGGAGCCUUCUCUAGUACGAGAGGACCGAGAAGGACAUACCUCUGGUGUACCAGUUAUCGUGCCAACGGUAAACGCUGGGUAGCUAUGUAUGGAGUGGAUAACCGCUGAAAGCAUCUAAGUGGGAAGCCCACCUCAAGAUAAGUAUUCUCACC